AGUAACACGUCUGUUAAUCUGCCCUUAGGUGGAGGAUAAUCUCGGGAAACUGAGAAUAAUACUCCAUAGAUCUAGGAUGCUGGAAUGCACUUAGAUUGAAAGCUCCGGCGCCUAAGGAUGAGUCUGCGGACUAUCAGGUUGUGGUCAGGGUAAUGACCUGACUAGCCUACGACGGAUACGGGUUGUGAGAGCAAUAACCCGGAGACGAUAUCUGAGACACGAUAUCGGGCCCUACGGGGCGCAGCAGGCGCGAAAACUUCACACUGUGCGAAAGCACGAUGAGGGAAUCCCAAGUGCCAACUCGUAAGAGUUGGCUGUUUCUCUGUCUAAAAAAUAGAGAGAGUAAGAGCUGGGUAAGACGGGUGCCAGCCGCCGCGGUAAUACCUGCAGCUCAAGUGGUGGCCACUAUUAUUGGGCCUAAAACGUCCGUAGCCGGUUUAAUAAAUGCCGGGGUAAAUCGUGUAGCUUAACUAUACGAAUUCCGGGUAGACUGUUAGACUUGAGACCGGGAGAAGCUAGAGGUACUCCUGGGGUAGAGGUGAAAUUCUGUAAUCCUAGGGGGACCACCAGUGGCGAAGGCGUCUAGCUAGGACGGGUCUGACGGUGAGGGACGAAGCCCUGGGGCGCAAACCGGAUUAGAUACCCGGGUAGUCCAGGGUGUAAACGCUGCUUGCUUGAUGUUAGUUGGGCUCCGAGCCCAAUUAGUGUCGGAGAGAAGUUGUUAAGCAAGCUGCCUGGGAAGUACGGCCGCAAGACUGAAACUUAAAGGAA
rnacentral:rRNA from 1 species